CCACCUGACCCCAUGCCGAACUCAGCAGUGAAACGCCGUAGCGCCGAUGGUAGUGUGGGGUCUCCCCAUGUGAGAGUAGGGAACUGCCAGAC
rnacentral:rRNA from 2 species